rnacentral:rRNA from 1 species
GGUUGUCGUCAGCUCGUGUCGUGAGAUGUUGGGUUAAGUCCCGCAACGAGCGCAACCCCUACGUUUAGUUGCUAACGCGUGAAGGCGAGCACUCUAGACGAACUGCCGUUGACAAAAACGGAGGAAGGUGGGAUGACGUCAAAUCAUCAUGCCCCUUAUGUUCUGGGCUACACACGUGCUACAAUGGCCGGUACAGACGGACGCAAAGCCGCGAGGUGGAGCAAAUCCUAAAAAGCCGGUCUCAGUUCGGAUUGCAGGCUGCAAUUCGCCUGCAUGGAAGUCGGAAUCGCUAGUAAUCGCAGGUCAGCAUACUGCGGUGAAUACGUUCCCGGGCCUU